CGGGCUGACAGGGCCGGGCUGCAGGGCCGGGAUGGGACGGUGCUGCAGCGCAGUGAGGCCAUUCCCGAGGCACCUUCCUACCCGGACCUGCCUGAGUUCUGCUGCAUUUUCUCACGGCCAGCACUGCCAGCUGCCUGGGGCUCUGCCAGCUGUGCUUACCGGCAGCAGUGUCUUGGUCAGGCUUCCAGCUCCGCUACUGCAGCUCUCCUGCCAAAGCACUCUGACUUCCUUUCACGACGCAUUCUUGGUCUCCUCUGCAGCAUCACCGUUGUUCAGAUGUGACACAAGCUCGGUGACAUCAGCCCGUGUGCUUUGUGCAUCACUUCAUUCGUGGCAACAUCUUUUUUCAUAAUUACAUACAGCAGUAUCCAACAGGGAAUGGAUCCGAAAAGCAGAUGCUACGGUAGUGUCCAUGCUAUGAACCUAAAGACAGCUGUGCCGCUCUCUGCAGUGACGUUAUCACCUCCCAGCAGCACCCUGUGCUGAGCUGCUAGCAGUGUGACCUUGCAAGUCACAGCCAGCUCCGCCAGCGCUCCCUGCCCACUCUAACACUUGUGAGAAGGGUCAAUGGGGAGAGCACGGAGACAGACCGGAGAACUCCACAAGGAAGAGAUCAUACCUUGACGUUACUGAGAUGUUUGAUUAGACAACUAUCUUUGAUGGUUACUUCGUAAUAUUUGUGUGAUGUUCGUUUAUUUCUUCUGUGCUCUUGGAUGGUUUCUCUCUUUGCUCAGGAGCGCUUGAUGGAAAGCAUUUGGGAAGUAUUAAAGAGACCUCGCAUGCUGUGGGAUGGGCUGCAGAGCAGUUUCCAGAUCGUGCCUGAGAGAAGAUGGAUGCAGAAUACAAAACGAAGCAGCAGAUCCACCUCCAAUAUUACAAGAACCAGAUGGGAAAGGUCUGGGAAUUCAAUGGACACAACCCUGGCGUGUGCACUGGGCAACUGCCAGCUUUGCCCUUUAGGGAAUGCUAGCCAGAAAAGCAAAUUCCUCACUUCCCUUACCUGAAUUAACGAUCAUGGGAUGGAGAGCAGUGUGAUGUGGAGAUGGUGCUGUCUCAUUGCUCCCAAGAUAGAUUUUUACACAAAAAGAUGUUAUCUGCAUCUCCCGUGGUGGUAUAACAGGCAGCAUGUGUCCUUGUGCCCGGAAUGCUUUCAGAGAACAACAUGAUAUUUCAACUUAUGACUGACACCUUAUGUUCUCCAACGUUCGUACUACACAUUGCCGACAGGACCUGGCAGUUCGUGCUCUCACGUUUCCAAAGCAAAGAACUGCUGUCUCACCGUGCACGCGCAGGGGCAGAGCAAAGCUGCAUCGAAGCCUCGUGGUAUUUAUCACACUCCAAGCUAGCGAUUUUGUAAGCCGGACACCUUUUAAAAGGAAUUUUAAGCGUGCAGCUUUGCCCUGUACCAGCAAUGGCGCGGCGGCAGCCAUGUGACGGCGC
ensembl:lncRNA